CAAAUACAAGUUGUCGCUAAAUUCGGAGGCAGCUGGGCCUGGGGAAGGGGGCUGACUGCAGAGAGCGGUCCUCGGACGGGCGCCCUGCAGGCCCUUCCCAGGCAGGCUGGGAGGAGGCCCGCCUCGCCGGCUGGCUGCGCACAAAUGAGGGCUGAUGCCUGCCACCUGCCCCUCCCUCUCCAGCCCACAUCUUCCCCUGGCUUAGAGCUUUCUGAGUGACCCAGCAGCUCAUCUGCAGGGUGGUGGGGAGACUCCCCCAGCAGCUCCCGUGGAGUCGAAAGGCAAGGCCAGCGGUGAACCUUCCAGCCAGGAGCCCUGCCUGCAGCCAGGACCAUGGCUGAAGCCGUGUCGGUUCCUUACCUCAUCUUUCCUCAAGGGACCGUGGUCCAGAGCCGACAGCACCUCCUGGGCAGUCUCAGAGGCCACCUGCCAUCUUGCCGCGGGACCUGGUUGGGGCUGUGUGUGACACAGGGGCACAGAGUGGUGGCCGAGGGCCCAGAGCUGCCUCUGCCUCUGCCUCUGACUGUGUGACCUUGACUGUGGACUGAGUCUUCUGAAACUGAGGGUCCUUCCCUGAAAGAGAAGGAUAGGAUAAUUUAUUUCUAAAUUUCUUCAACACUUAAGCUUCUUAUGACUCUUAACAAUUCUAUUCCUUUUAAAAAAUUCUGGACUUAGAGCACACCAAUCCGAAAAGGAAAAUCAGUGUUUGUCAAAGUUCUGAAGGGGCAUUAAUUGUAUUUUCUGGGCACCAGAAUCUUGACCCUAAAUCAUCAAGUAAGACUCAUCCAGUUCCAAUAUCCAUAAUUGUUCACCCUGUG